UGAGGAAUAUUGGUCAAUGGGCGAGAGCCUGAACCAGCCAAGUAGCGUGAGGGAAGACUGCCCUAUGGGUUGUAAACCUCUUUUGAUUGGGAACAAAGAGCGCCACGUGUGGUGCGUUGCGUGUACCUUUCGAAUAAGCAUCGGCUAAUUCCGUGCCAGCAGCCGCGGUAAUACGGAAGAUGCGAGCGUUAUCCGGAUUUAUUGGGUUUAAAGGGAGCGUAGGCGGGCUGUUAAGUCAGCGGUCAAAUGUCAGGGCCCAACCUUGGCAUGCCGUUGAUACUGGCGGCCUUGAGUUCACACAAGGAAGGUGGAAUUCGUCGUGUAGCGGUGAAAUGCUUAGAUAUGACGAA
rnacentral:rRNA from 1 species